AUUCAACCAAUCAGGUAUCAGAUUUCCUUGACCUCAUUAGACACGCCCACAAACUUUGUGAGGAAGAGCGUGAAUUUGAACCGGAAUCAUGGCAGAGGCAGACGAGGCCGACGUUCAAACAAAGAAAAGCAAAACCCUCAUUGUACGACAUCUGCCCAGAGAACUCAACAGAGAUGACAAGGAGGAUCUCCUGAAAUAUUUUGGUGCUUCAUCUGUCAAAGUGCUGUCAGAGAAGGGACCCCUAAAACAUAUGGCAUUUGCAACUUUCAGGAGUGAGACCUCAGCCUCUAAGGCACUGAACAGACUUCAUCAGCUGAGAAUCCUUGGUCACACACUAGUGGUUGAGUUCGCGAAAGAUCAAGACCAUGUCAUUGUUUUGAAAGACCCACCAGUGUCUAAGAGUGGUGCUGGUGCCCAGUCUGAGAAGGGGAAGAAAGAAAAACAACAAAGCAACGUUCCUCUGGUGGACAACAGCAUUGCUCCCAAUCUGGGGUUGAAAUUUCAAACAAAUCCAACGCUGAAAUAUUUAUACCCUCCUCCUUCAAGUGGAAUUUUGACAAACAUUACACACACUCUUCUGAGCGUGCCCAAGUUCUACGUUCAAGUUCUUCACUUGAUGAAUAAGAUGAACCUUCCAUGCCCGUUUGGACCAGUGACAGCUCCUCCGCCAAUGUUUGAGAUGCCUCCAGGCCCAUUGCCGCCCAUGCCCCCACCCUUCCCCCCAGAGAACCCUCCUCUACCGGAACACGAGGAGGGGGCGUCGGGCAGUGAAGAAGAAUCUGAGUACGAAAGUGGAGAUGAGGAGGACAAGGAGAGGAUGAUCAGAUUGAUGGGCCUUGUUAACCAGCCAUGCAAAAGACCGUUGAGAACAAAGACUUCUUCUAAGAGAAAGAAACCCAAACUAAAAGACCUCCUGUUUAUUCCCAAACCAGAUUCCCACGGCCCCUCAGGCCCAGCUCUGCAGCCAUCAGACGUGUUCGAGCAACCUCAGACGCUUGGACAGAAAAAGAUUGAGUUCCAUAUAUCGGCUGAGGUGUCCACCAUCCUUGAGGGUCCCAGACAGAAUCAGGAACCGCAAUUUGCAGAUGCGAACGAAGACACGGCAGAGGUUUCCGUUCAGGACGCUGCAGAAGGGUUUGGGAAAAUCUACCCAAGCGCUCCGGUCCCCAGACACGAGGAAGAGAGGGAGGAAGAUGAGGACAUCCCCUCAGAGUUCAUCUCUCGGAGAGAGCUAGAGAGAGGGAGACUCUCCAGAGACGAGAUGAAGAAAAUGUCUGUGUUUAAAAAUUACGAACCUGGAGAGCCAACCUGCAGACUUUAUGUUAAGAAUGUUGCGAAGCAAGUUGAAGAAAAAGAUCUGAAGUUCAUCUACGGCCGGUAUAUCGACAUCUCCUCAGAGGAGGAGAGAAACAUGUUUGAUAUUGUUUUGAUGAAAGAGGGGAGGAUGAAAGGUCAGGCCUUCGUCGGGCUCCCCAGCGAGAGAAGCGCAGAGAAGGCCUUAAAGGAAACCAAUGGAUUUGUUCUCAACGACAAACCUCUUGUGGUGCAAUUCGCCCGAUCUGCAAAACCUAAACAGGAAUCUGCAGACCCAAAGAAAGGAGGGAAAAAACACUGAACCGAUGAUGUUGAUGUACAAUCAUGAGCCUACAGGAGCUCCAUCUUUACUUCAUAUCCUUUAAAAUAUCCUUUAAAAGAGUCAUUUGAAUUGCUUGCUUUGAUGAUAAAUUAUAGGCAAUAACUGAAUUCUUCCAAAUGUCAAGCAAUAUUUUUUAUGUUUAUUAACAUAAUGUGUAUAUAUAUAUACAGUCAUGGCCAAAAAUAUCGGCACCCUUAGUAAACAUGAUAAAAGAAAGCUGUGAAAAUUAAUCUGCAUUGUUAAUCCUUUUGAUCUUUUAUUUAAAAAAUUCACAAAAAUGUAACCUUUCAUUGGAUAAUAAUAAUUUAAAAUGGGGGGAAAUAUAAUUAUGAAAUAAAUGUUUUUCUCAAAUACACGUUGGCCACAAUUAUUGGCACCCCUAGUAAUUCUUAUGUGUAAAAUAUCUUUGAAGUGUAUUUCCUUUCAUAUUCACAAUUUUGAGCACUCCAGGGUGAUUAUGAACAUGAAAUUAUCCAGCCAUGGCUUCCUGUUUCACAGAAAUAUAAAUAGGAGGGAAAACAAAGCCCAAAUUCCCUUAAUCAUCCAUCACAAUGAGAAAAACCAAAGAAUAUAUUUCUGAUGUGCAGCAAAGGAUAAUUGAGCUUCACAAAUUAGUGAAGUGGCUUUAAGAAAAGAGCUAGAGCAGUGAAAAUUCCCAUUUCUACCAUCAGGGCAAUAAUUAAGAAUUUCCAAUCAACUUAAAAUGUUGCAAACUGCCUGGAAGAGGACGUGUGUCUAUAUCGUCCUAAUGCACGGUGAGAAGGAGAGUUUGAGUGGCUAAAGACUCUCCAAGGACCACAGCUGGAGAAUUGCAGAAAAUAGUUGAGUCUCGGGAUCAGAACCUAAAAUAAAUUGUCAAACAGCACCUACAUCACCACAUGUUGUUUGGGAGGGUUUCAAGAAAAAUUCUCCUCGCUCAUCCAAAAACAAACUCCAGCAUAUUCAGUUAUCAGACACAACAGGAACUUCAAAUGGGACUGGCUUCUAUGGUCCGAUGAAACUAAAAAAAUGAGCUUUUUAGCAGCAAACACUCAAGAUGGGUUUGGUGAACACAGGGAUAAAAAGUACCCCAUGUGUACAAUAAAAAAUAUACUGCUGUAUUUUUGAUGUUGUGGGCCUAUAUUUCUGCUGGAGGUCCUGGACAUGGCAUCACCGAUUCUAUCAAAUACCAACAGAUAAAAAAAUCAAUAAGUGACUGACUCUGUUAGAAAUCUUAUAAUGGGCCAUGUUUGGAUCUUCCAACCGUACAAUAAUCCAAACACAAAUCUCAAAAACAACACAAAAAUGGGUCACUGAGCACAAACCUAAGCUUCUGAUAUGGCCAUUCCAGUCCUCUGACCUGAACCCUGCAGAAAAUGAGUGGUGAACUGAAGAGAAGAACCAACAUGGAGCUGGGAAUCUAAAGGGUGUGGAGUGAUUCUGGAUGAAGGAAUGGUCUCUGAUCUCUUGUCAGGUGUUCUCUAACCUCAUCAGGCAUUAUAUGAGAAAAUUUAGAGCUGUUAAACUGGUAAAUGGAGGUUUCAAAAAGUAUUGAACAAAAGGGUGCCGUUAAUUGUGGCCAAUGUGUAUUAGAGAAAAAAAAUUUUUUUUCAUAAUGAUAUUUCCCCCCAUUUUAAAUUCUUAUUCAAUGAAAGGUUAGAUUUUUGUGAUUUAAAAAAAAAAAAAAGAUCAAAAGGAUUAACAAUGCAGAUUCAUUUUCACAGCCUUCUUUGAUCAUAUUUACCAAGGGUGCUGAUAUUUUUGGCCAUGACUGUAUAUAUAUAUAUUACACAUAAAGCUUGUUAUUAAUAUUUUUUCCCUCCAAUUUUGUUGCAGAGUGCUGCUGUUGAGUUCAUUUGGACUGAAGUUCAUCAUCGAUUGAUGUUGCCAAAGGUCGGAUCCUGAUGUUUAAUGGUACCAGUAUUGUUCUGCACGCACAACAUGUGCCUUUGAUGUGAAGGAGAAUAAAUUUAGAAGUCGCUAUCAGUCAGCCGGCUCAUCUUCCAGCAGCACAGCAACAGAUGGUACUGUCAGUACAGCAGAGCUCAGACAAACAAACAAUAUACAAGAAAGACUGUGACCAGGGCUGGCCCGACUCGAAGAUUAGCUGUUAUUUGUUCGCUGUACUUUAGUCUGAGAUCUAAGACUCUCAAGACGCAUUGUGCCAGGUUUGAUUUCAGGGAUGCCAAAUGCUUUUGCUUUUCAUGAUCAAUCAUAAUGCUCAAUCAUGAUCUGUCUUGACAUUGUAUAUUAAGCAUGAAUGAGAUUUUACUAUGCUUUGCAACAUUUUGGUCACACAAAGAAACCAUUACUGUCCAAUUUUUUGUAAGUGCGAGAUCAACUGAUUAAGGGUUCAACAUAAACCACACAGGUCAAAAUAUACAUUAAACAGUAAUAUUGCGAAAUAUUACAAUUUAGAAUUUUAAUUUAAAAUCUAAUUUAUUAUUUGAUUCGUUGAUGAAUAGAAAGUUCAAAAGAAUCUUUAACAUUUAUAUGAAAUAGAAAUCUUUUGUGACAUUAUAAAUGUCUUCACAUCAAUUUAUUGCUUCCGUGUUGAAUAAAAGCAUGAAUUAUUUUUUACA